rnacentral:rRNA from 1 species
AUUGAACGCUGGCGGCAGGCCUAACACAUGCAAGUCGAGCGAGUGGCGGACGGGUGAGUAAGGUCUGGGAAACUGGCCGAUGGAGGGGGAUAACUACUGGAAACGGUAGCUAAUACCGCAUACCAUCGGAUGUGCCCAGAUGGGAUUAGCUGGUAGGUGGGGUAACGGCUCACCUAGGCGACGAUCCCUAGCUGGUCUGAGAGGAUGACCCGCCACACUGGAACUGAGACACGGUCCCGACUCCUACGGGAGGCAGCAGUGGGUAAUAUUGCACAAUGGGCGCAAGCCUGAUGCAGCCAUGCCGCGUGUAUGAAGAAGGCCUUCGGGUUGUAAAGUACUUUCAGCGCGGAGGCGUUACUCGCAGAAGAAGCACCGGCUAACUCCGUGCCAGCAGCCGCGGUAAUAC